AUUGAACGCUGGCGGCAUGCCUUACACAUGCAAGUCGAACGGCAGCACGGGAGCAAUCCUGGUGGCGAGUGGCGAACGGGUGAGUAAAGUAUCGGAACGUGCCCAGUCGUGGGGGAUAACGUAGCGAAAGUUACGCUAAUACCGCAUACGAUCCAUGGAUGAAAGCGGGGGAUCGCAAGACCUCGCGCGAUUGGAGCGGCCGAUAUCAGAUGAGGUAGUUGGUGGGGUAAAGGCUCCCCAAGCCGACGAUCUGUAGCUGGUCGGAGAGGACGACCGGCCACCCUGGGACUGAGACACGGCCCAGACUCUUACGGGAGGCAGCAGUGGGGAAUGUUGGACAAUGGGCGAAAGCCUGAUCCAGCCAUGCCGCGUGCAGGAUGAAGGCCUUCGGGUUGUAAACUGCUUUUGUACGGAACGAAAAGGUUUGGCCUAAUAAGCUGAGCUCAUGACGGUACCGUAAGAAUAAGCACCGGCUAACUACGUGCCAGCCGCCGCAGUAA
rnacentral:rRNA from 1 species